rnacentral:lncRNA from 1 species
GUUACCGUACUGUGUUCCUUCUACAUCUUUCUUUCUCUCAAAGUAUUCUAUCUACAAAAUUAAUGAUUUCUCUGUGCUCCAAAUCGCUCUUCUUCGGCGGCGUUGCUUCAAGGCUCUAUGUCUUUUUAUUAUUGUGAUGGUUAGAUUUUUUAUUUUCUCCUCAAACUCUUUUCUGUAUUUUAUGGAUCUGCUAUAUUAAAAGACAAUGAAAAUACAGAGAGAUUCAUGCCUUUUUCUAUAUUGAUAAUUUAGUCUAAAAGGUACAUUUUUUAUUUGAAAAAGUUUAUUGUGGUUGUUUGCAUGCCAUUUUUAUGAAUUCUUAAUGUUUUUGAUAUUUCUUGAAUAUUGUAUACAUAUGGAAGAUGCGAGAAUUUGAAAUGGCUAUUCAAAAUUUCUGCAUGUGAGUUCGCAUUUUCUUCUCGCAUUUUUAUGAUAUAAUUCACUCUUUUUGGUGUUCGAACACUGCAUCACAUGGUGGUACAAAGAGCAACCUUAUUGGUUCGAUCUUUCAAGAGUAGAAAAUAUUGAUUUCCGAUCUAGAUACAAGUUUUGGGAAUUUACUUAGUAUUUUAAUUUUAAUUUUUGAGUGUUGUUUGGAGUUAUAUUUCUCAUAAUGUUUAAGGUUUUUGUUUGUUUACUUAUUCCCCUGCAGUAGUUUUCCUUCUAAAUUAUUUCUUGAUUUUGACAUACCUUUAAAUUUUGGCUCAUGUUAGUUACUAGGGUAACAAUUCUUCUAUUGUGUGGAACAUGUUUCUCAUAAACUUAUAAGCAACGUUGAAAGUUUUUGGACUAAUUUAGGUAGGAUUUGAUAGAAAGUAAAAUUAUUGACUGAAAAUUAUUACUUUCAGAACGAAAAUAAUAGUGAAAAAUACUUCUUAUGCCUACACUUGGGACCUCACCUUCCAAUCUAAUACACUACUUCAUUAAUCAAUUGCCUGUUUUCGAGUAGUUUUUUACUAUAUCUUUGAUAUGUUUAGAGAAAAUUGAUCCAACGAUCUAGACAUGAGUGAAGAAAUUAACGUAUAAUAUUUCUUUUGCCUUUCGCAGGUUAAGAGUGAUCAAGUUAUCCUAAAAACUUCUAGGUGAAGCACUCUGUUCUGCUUGUACCGGCGAGGACAUGGGACUUCUGCUGAAAUUAUUGUUCACUACACCAUAGGCAAUGUGGAGGUCACUUUUUUGGAGAUGUACAUGUUUUGGGUCUUAACUGUAAAGUACCCUCCUCCUUUGGCACUCUGAUCUAUCUUGCACUCAUACCACUAAAGAACCAAGGUAGUUUUCUCCAUUUUUUGUGCUUGUAAUACAUAAAUGUGUCUUAUAGUUAUGGCUAUGUAUGAGUUUUUAAUAAAGAUCAAGUGUUACAGUAGAUGAACUCACUUCCUAUCUAUAUUUGCCUAUUUUUUUAUUUUUUUUAAAAAAAACUAAUAAUAAAUCAAUUGACACUAUCAUCUAGACACAAUAUUAUUGUGAUCCAUAGGUAUCAAAGUUAAUCUAAGUCAGAGACAACACUAAAUUGAGAUUCCAACUACAUCUGAAAACAUGUUGUUAAUUCAACUACCAAGUCAUGAUCCUUCUGCGCUAUGACCUUAUGAGUUGAAUGAGCACAUGCGACAUGAGAGCUGAAAAAUUAGAAAUCAUUGUUUCAAAAUUAUGAAUAGGAUGUCAUAAUGGUAUCCAAGAGAGUAACAACAUAUAAAUGAAAUAAGACUACAAGAGAGAUAUGUUGAUCCGUUUUAAUAACCGUGUUGGUAAGUCAAUAUGCCACUUUCUGAUUUUAGUAGAUAUUUGCAUCUAUUUAGAUUAGAUGUCUCAGCUUAUUAUGAUAGUUAAGAAUUGAUGAAAGACUACUAUUUCAAAUACUCUAUAUAGUGUUGUUAUGAUUGAUGAGAUAGUGCCGUUUUGUUUCUAUGAGAUUUUUUCCUUUGUUGUGUGAAUUUCAAUGUCCGUUUGGAUAUAAGAACUAAAACCUGAAAUUCGGUAAAAUAACUGUUGAAAAAAUGUUUCUAUUCUCAAACUGAAUUUUUCGUUCCAAGUCUUAAAAGAAGAGAGGAUCACUGAUAAUUCAAAUAUUUAAGAACUCUUUAAUAAGUUUUGCUCUCUUAUAAUAUAAUAAAUUCUUAUUUGUACUAGGCUUUCUUCUAUAGUCCUAUAUUACCUUGCACGCAACAAUGUUAUUAUAAUCAAAAACCUUGGAAACAUAUGUCAUAUGUUUGAGAAAGUUAAUAGGGCAAGAAAUGUAACAAGACAAAUGAAUAUCAAUUACUUUGUUAUAUUUUCUUUUGAGCAUUUUAUUUGUGUAUUGGUAAUAGUUGAAUUGAGUUUGUAUUGUUUGUUUUAAGCUAAUUUGUAUUUUCUUGCUAAAAAAUUGUAGUUGUGUUAAGCAUAUGACUUUACUGUAUUGACGUCUACUAUAUUAAAUAAAAAUCCUACCUUACUUUAGUAACUAUAUAACCAUUCCAUUUCACACGCUUACAAGUUACAGCUUUAUAGUGUCAUAUAUGUUAGUUCAUGUUUCUCAGAGACAACAUUUAUAUCCGACACUCAGCAGAUAGGAAAAUUAGGUGUGGCAUCAUAGCGGGGGCGAUCAUAUGCUACUUCAGAGUUCCAGAUUUACAUGUAAGUUAAUAUGCCAGUUUCUGUUAAAAUGUUUGAGGCAACUUCACAUGAGUUUAGUUGUUCUUAGCAGUUAUUUAUAUCAAUUUACAUUUGAUGCUUCAUCUUAGUGCGGUUGUUUCAAAUUAUGAAAUGAAAAUCGUUCUUCACUUUGAUGUUAAUUAAAAUUUUACAGUAAAAAUUGAUUGGUAAUACUUUUCAAGAAUGGAACAAGGAUUGCAACCUCUAUAAUGAGAAAAUUUUGCACAACUAAGUAAUAUUCUACGUUGCAUUGAACAUGGAAAAUUUAUCAGUUUAUCUCAAGUAUUGUACAAAAGUUUUGAUUCCCCUGUUUUUGGGAGAAAUAUUGGAGCACCAUCAUAUAUGGCACCAACAUUAAGUUUACGAAAGUCUGGUAUUGAAGUACCAUCGAAGUAUAUGCAAGAUUCAUUAUCAAAAUUGCGAAGAUGGAGUUCAGAUU